UUAUGAGCGAUGAAGAGAAUAGUACAUGAGGAGCAAUCUCAGAGAGGGAUCCAUAUGGUGUGAGGAUUCUGUGCGUGAAUCAUGGAACCGGCCUCUGAGCUCCAUGUGAUUGAAGCAUGGCGUGUUUCCUGCGUUAAAGGAUCUAGAGAGAGCAGUUCCUUUGGGAAUUGUUAAUUAGGGUGGUACCGCCGAAGUCCUUCGGUCCCUUUA
rnacentral:ncRNA from 1 species